CUGCAGUUUGAAAACUAUCAAAACUAGAGACCAUCUUGUCAUGGGAUCACACCAGCCGCGACGCCAAAUCGAUAACAGGUAAAUCAGGAGAUAAAAUGAACAAUG